rnacentral:rRNA from 1 species
AGUCUCUAUCGAGGUUAAAGGUACCCGUACCGCAAACCGACACAGGUGGGUGAGGAGAGUAUCCUAAGGCCAGCGAGAGAACUGUUGUUAAGGAACUCGGCAAAAUGACCCCGUAACUUAGGGAUAAGGGGUGCCACCAUCAGGUGGCCGCAGAGAAUAGGCCCAAGCGACUGUUUACCAAAAACAUAGGUUUCUGCUAAGUCGCAAGACGAUGUAUAGGAGCUGACGCCUGCCCGGUGCUGGAAGGUUAAGGGGAUCUGUUAGAGCAAUCGAAGCAGUGAACUUAAGCCCCAGUAAACGGCGGCCGUAACUAUAACGGUCCUAAGGUAGCGAAAUUCCUUGUCGGGUAAGUUCCGACCCGCACGAAAGGCGUAACGAUUUGGGCACUGUCUCAACAACAGACUCGGUGAAAUUGUAAUUCCGGUGAAGAUGCCGGAUACCUGCGACAGGACGGAAAGACCCCAUGGAGCUUUACUGUAGCUUGACAUUGGGUCUUGGUACUACAUGUACAGGAUAGGUGGGAGGCUUUGAAACCAGGACGCCAGUUUUGGCGGAGCCAUCCUUGGGAUACCACCCUUGUAGUACUGGGACUCUAACCAUAGGCCAUGAAUCUGGUCUUGGGACACUGUCAGGUGGGCAGUUUGACUGGGGCGGUCGCCUCCCAAAAGGUAACGGAGGCGCUCAAAGGUUCUCUCAGUACGGUCGGAAAUCGUACGUAGAGUGUAAAGGCAAAAGAGAGCUUGAUUGCAAGACAUACAGGUCGAGCAAGGAUGAAAAUCGGACUUAGUGAUCCGGUGGUUCUGCGUGGAAGGGCCAUCGCUCAACGGAUAAAAGCUACCCUGGGGAUAACAGGCUUAUCUCCCCCAAGAGUCCACAUCGACGGGGAGGUUUGGCACCUCGAUGUCGGCUCAUCACAUCCUGGGGCUGUAGUAGGUCCCAAGGGUUGGGCUGUUCGCCCAUUAAAGUGGUACGCGAGCUGGGUUCAGAACGUCGUGAGACAGUUCGGUCCCUAUCCGUCGCAGGCGUAGGAAAUUUGAGAAGACCUGUCCUUAGUACGAGAGGACCGGGAUGGACG